CAAUAGCGUAUAUUAAUGUUGUUGCAGUUAAAAAGCUCGUAGUUGGAUUUCUGGUGGGAGCGGCCGGUCCGCCGUAAGGUGUGUACUUGGUUGUCUCCUGUCAUCCUUGUGGGAACUGCUCUGGCAUUAAGUUGUCGGGGUUAGGGAACACAUCGUUUACUGUGAAAAAAUUAGAGUGUUUAAAGCAGGCUUAUGCCGUUGAAUACAUUAGCAUGGAAUAAUAAGAUAGGACUUUGGCGUCUAUUUUGUUGGUUUGCACACCAAGGUAAUGAUUAAUAGGGAUAGUUGGGGGUAUUCGUAUUUAAUUGUCAGAGGUGAAAUUCUUGGAUUUAUGAAAGACGAACUUCUGCGAAAGCAUUUACCAAAGAUGUUUNCAUUA
rnacentral:rRNA from 1 species